AGUUCAAAACCAGCCUGGCCAACAUGGUGAAACCCCGUCUCUACUAAAAAUACAAAAAUUAGCUGGGCAUGGUGGCAUGUGCCUGUAAUCCCAGCUACUCGGGAGGCUGAGGCGGGAGAAUCACUUGAACCUGGGAGGCAGAGGUUGCAGUGACCCGAGAUUGCGCCAUUGCACUCCAGCCUGGGUGACAGAGCAAGACGCCGUCUCAAAAAAUAAAAAUAAAAAAUAAAAAAGUCCAGAUACCCAGGCUUACACUGGACCAACUAAAACGAUCUUGAGGUGGGAGCCAGUGUCUCUCUCACCCAGGCUGGAGUGCAGGGGCGCCAUCUCGGCUCACUGCAACCUCUGCCUCCCAGGUUCAAGCCAUUCUCCCACCUCAGCCUCCCAAGUAGCUGGGAUUACAGGCGUGAGCCACCGCG
rnacentral:lncRNA from 1 species